CAAUCAUUUCUCUCUGCAAACACCUUCCCUGCACAAUUACCAACAACUUCGCCGAUCCCUCUACCUUUAAUCGAACCUUUCAACUUCCUCCUUUACAUUUACAGCCAGCCACCAUUCAAUCCAUUUUCAUGAUGUCGAAUUUAUUGCAAGACCUAAUCGCCGAGAUAUUAAUCCGAUUACCAGUGAAGUCUGUGGUACGCUUCCUCUGUGUUUCUAAGGAAUGGUACGCCCUAAUCACUAGCUCAUAUUUCAUCAAAAUGCACUUGAAGUUCUCCAUUGAGACCAACAGAGACCGCACCCUCAUCCUCAACGAAGAGGACUUCGCUCCGGCUUCACAUUAUUUUUCCGCCGUUCAAUUCUCAUCCAAGUACAAUCGCUUCGGCAAGACCGUUGAAAUUUACCAGCCGCUACUAAAUUGGGUCAUCUCGGACUAUUGCGACGGCUUGGUUUGCCUCCAUAAGGGGCACGAAAAGCAAGACGUCGCAAUUUGGAAUCCAUUGGUCAGGAAGUACAGGAGAUUUCCAUUCGAACCGAUUGAGGAGCCCUCUGGUUUCUCGGAUGUUAGAUUUUCCCAUUUAGCGUUCGGGCACGAUCCGCGUAACGACGACUAUAAGGUGUUGAGGGUUAUAGAAUUUUAUAUGGAAGAUAUGAUUGGUAUGGAGUUUGAAGUCAAGGUGUGUAGUAUGAGAUCACCCACUUGGAAAAAAAUUGAUGAACAAUGGCCCAACAUGGUGGUAUGUCACUGGAAGUCGGUGGCUUUGAAUGGAGAUGUGUAUUUUAUAGUGGCUGAUCGAGUUGGGCAGCAUCGGAAGUCGCUUCUUGCUUUCGAUCUCGCCACCGAGAAAUUUCGGUUCUAUGGGACGCCGGUUCCGCUAGAAAACUAUCUGUCUACGAUUUUGGAUGUGUUGGGAGGACUACUCUGUUGUAUUGUUCAUGAUUACAUGUAUUGUGAUGUUUAUUUGAUGAAAAAAUAUGGGGUAGAGAGUUCUUGGACUCAGAUUUUUAAAAUUGAGAAAAAUGUACUGUGUCGGAACUUUGAGUAUUUCAGGACUCUAAUGUUUUCCACCAAUGGCAAGAAGGUUCUGUUGGAGGAGCACCAAGAAUGCGGUCAUACGAAUCUUAUUUGGUAUGACAUAGAAAAGAAAAGAUGCUACAGGGUUAAGAAUCGGAGUUUUCCAUAUGUGUUUAUGGUGGCAACUUGUAUCGGGAGUCUUCUUCUCCUUGAUGGUGAUAAUGUGAUUGAUCCUCGGCAGAAGAAGAAUAAGGGGAAGAGGAAGAGGUAAAGCAAUGGAGCUUAAUGAACUAUUUUGUUUUGCUUAAUUGGCUGUCUUGGUAUUGGUUUGCAUUACUGUCUUGAAGCAGUGGGUGUUUAAUGAUGGGAAGAUUUUGUGAAUUUUCAUGUAAGACUUGAUACUUGUUUGAGUGGAAUUAAAGUCCAUCAGAAUCUGUUGGGAAAAGCAGUGAAAUGCAAGAAGGAUAAAGAGGUGAUUGUGGAGACGACUUUAUCUUUCAAAAGUAAUUUUGAUUAUUGUGUUUUUUGUGUUAACUAGCUGUAUAUAACAAAAGCUGGAUUAUUCAUGUCUUAUGGAAUAUUUAGCUAUUUUUCAACUUUUUAAUGUUAUUGAGACUUUUGCAUAUCUAAUAUGAUAAAGCUUGUUCAUGGAA